rnacentral:misc_RNA from 1 species
CAUGAUGAAUUAUUCUUACACCACUCUCACUGCUGCUGCUGCUGGAUGAAAUUGCGGAGGGUUGCUGAUUCAGCAUGGUAGGAGAGGAAUGGGACGGGGCUGGUGAAUGGCUCACCAGAACCUGACAAUCUCCAGACGAUCCAUCUACUCUGCUAUGACCUGCACUUGGACUUGCCCCUGCGGCGGCAUUCAAGCUGCUAGCUCUUGGCUGUUUGAUGCUUGUUUUCGAGGAAACUGAAGUUAUGGUGGAUGCCGAGCCAAGUGGACGGAUACCCGAAAGAUCACCCAGAUCGCAAAGCGGGAUCUUGGGCUGUUGCCUUAAAAAAUCGAAGUACAACAAUUAAAAACCUUGUUGGAGUGAUGUUAACUGGGGGGUACGGAUCAAGCAUUCGCAGCUGAACACAGUUUGGGCUUAGAAGGGGGUCUCCAGCGCCAAGGGGUUGGUGUUGAGCUGAGGGUGACCCCAUAGUUCCUGCUGAUGGGCCACACACUGCUGCACCGCUACCAGCCCUUGUAGCUGUUACUGCAUUCCGUGAGAUUUCUAUAGCCAGU